CAGGGGGCGCUGUGCGGGCGGGCUCGGUACUGCCCGCUCGUCUCUGUAUAACCGAGCCCGGGAGGCGGGUUCGUGCGCACAGGCGGGCGCGCUGUCUCUAUAAAGCAGUAUCUCUUGCAAAGCGUCAGAUACUUUAGUUUUACGGCAUUCUAGCAUCACGUUUUUGACCGCUUAAGGGAAGCGAAGGGUUAGAACGGAGUCAUUUACAGUCAAGUAUUAUUCUCUUAUUUUUACUUUAAAUGGAACUUGACUUUCUUCUUUCUUUCAGAAACACUUUUGACUUCCUUGUGUGAGGUGCAAGUCCUUUUCAUGAUACGGGUUCAUAACCUCCUCUUCAGCUAAGAUCAGCAAAGAACAGCUGAUAUAAAUAAAUAAAUACUCUUCUAUCAGAGCUCUAGGUAAACUAAGUAGAAAUCAAUCGCUUCCUUUCCUUUUUUUGGUGCUUAAGAACUUGAUUCUGGGAGGUCACUAAUGAUACGGUAGAGUAUAUUUAGACAUUUAAAAAUAUUGGGUAUUGUACCAUGCCAAAUCCCUUGUGUGCUACAGUGUUUUGACAAUCUCUUUUAGGAGAGUUUGAUGUAGUACCUAGAAAAAGUACCUAGUGAUUCUUUAUAUCCAUUUCAUUUUCUUAAGUCCUACAUAUAUCUCCAAAAGAUCCUAUAUACCAUUCAGAAAACUGUUACCACAUUUAUAGAAGCAGAUGUAGAGAUACUAAUCUUGAGAAAUUCUGGUUUGUGUAUUCCAGGUUGCAAAGGGAUAUGAUCUUUUGUGUCUGAGCUUUCCCCUGUCUUUCCAUUCUGUUUCUGUUUUGCUUCAUUUUGGGGCAGUCUGUUAUUCAAUUGCCAUGUCAAGCCACGGAGGGCGAGAAAGGUUUCCAUCGGUCUGUAGGUGUUGAGCUUUCCUCAGGAAGCAGCCCAGAUGCUUUCUGUCUGUAUAUGACAGGCUUCCCUUUUCACGCUGAAGUCCAGUCUGACACCUCGGUUUUGGUCUCUGACAGGAGGAGCAGGCUGCUGUCAUUGCAAAUGAGAUGGCCGAGUGAUCCUGCGCUGUUCAUCUUUCUGCAAGAGACAACUCCAGCUGGGACUUUUAGCUUUACUGUGCUCAUCUGUGGCAGCUUCGGAUUGAACUAUGAAAUCCGUUUACAGCCCACUUAACAAACAGUGAUGUUUACAUCUGGGUAUCAAAGCAAGCUGUUUGCUGGAGUUCAAAGGCAGCUUUACAAGCACUAAAUCUGAUAGGUGAGGAAAACGUCCCCUGCUUCCUUCAGGUGCUUUGUAUGUGUGUGUCUUCAGGGACAGAAUUAAGCAGGAAGGGUUAUCUUCCCUGGCUUAGCUCUGACUUAACAGUCCUUGGUCAACAAUAUGCUUCCUGGGUGGGUUCUGCCAUUGUCAGAACUAUAUGCCUUGUAUAUAGAUCUAUAUGCCUUGUCAGAUCUAUAUGCCUUGUUGUAUGCAAGGGCAUUAGUCAGAGGGGUCUCCUCUUGCAGACAGGGAAGAGAAAUAAGUGCUCCCAGGGCCUUCCCCAGCUGCCCAAAGGCAGGUAUUGACUAGCUGCUAAUUAAAAAGUGGGUCUGAGGUGACUUGUGCCACUGCAGGCAAGUGCUGGAACGAACCACUUUGGGCUUCUUUUCCCCCCCAGCACAUAGGGGUAAGAGAUCUUCCUGAAAGAGGGUGCGGUGGCCGUGGCUGGGAGUGGCUCCAGUGCCUGAGAAAUGCCGUCUAAACAGAGAGUACAUAGGGUAAACAGAUCCAGCAGGAGGCAUGCUUUGGGGUGUGAGCACUGUGGAGAGGGGAGCAUAAAACAUCGUAUCUCAGCCAGGCAGUAUGCCGGUGCUUGGGUUUUUCUCUGAUUUGGGAGAAAGAUGAAAUCAGUGUCUGGGUUUUGAAAAGAAAAAGAUGUUGAAGAUAUUUUUUUAUUUGAGGAAGAGCUAUAAGGAGUUGAUGGAGAUUUUUGCUUCUGCCUCACGCUAGUCUCUAAGCUUUCCAGUGUGUUAGAAGCAGCUGCAUACUCCUGCUCUUGCCCACAGUGUCUACUCCCGAGUUACUAGUUCAAGCAAUUCAAAUUUAAUCCAUUGUGGGGGGAAGAUGGGGCAUUUGUUUGUACGCGUAGGCACGGUGUGUGAUAAUAACACAGUCAAAACUAGUGCACCAUCAACUGGAGAGAUUCCAUUAGCUUAUUAGCAGUCAUUAGGUGUUGCGAUGAGAUAAGCUUUCUCUAUUGCAGACUUCUUACAGAGCAAAACCACCAGCUUUGUGUUUGCAGGGAAGAACUUCUGCUUCCUGUGGUACGAUGCCUCCAAAGGGGUCAUCUAAGCUGGAAACAUGCCAUUUAGUAUGAGAGUGUGAGAUACAUACGAAUGCAUAGGUGUGCAUUGUUUGUGACUGGGGGAAGGAGACAUCUCAGUGUUGGGAUACCCAGCCUGACCUGUGGAUGCUGGCCUUGGUUUAGCUGAUCCAGCUGUAUCACACCCUUCCAAAGAAGGGUGAGGCAGGGACAUGAAACAUGUUAGCAAAGCCGCACAAGAAGUGCUGAACUUUUCUGGAGGUAUCACCCCAAAACCUGGCUUCAUCUCAGAAAACAAGCUUUGGCUGGGAGCUUUCACUACAAUGACUCAUUGUUUUGAAGUGCUUCAUUUAUGAAGACCCCCAGCAAACACCAGCUUUCAGGAACAGGCCGUUCUUAAGAAAAGCUGCCUGAGACAUGGAGGUAUGUCUGGUAAGGAAGGUGCUUGCAGAUCUGUCAUUUGCAAGAAAAUGUUCAGGAUUAUGACAGGACAAGCUGUUAAAAAAUGUCCUCGAUUCCACAGGACAGAUGUCUGAGAAGCAGGGGAUAGGUCAGCUUUUUCCUUCAGCAAAUAUUUUCCAUGAUGGUCCGCAGUUUAAAUGUGAGCCUUCACAAAUGGAGCUGUAAAGGACAGAUGACAGGCUGUGUAUCGGAGCUGUGGUGCAGAAGAGGGGGUGGCAGGGUUCAUCUGCUGCAUGUAACGUGCUCUGUGGACAAGCUACCAGAUCUGUGGCUGAACUGGAGGUCUGCAGACAAGAGGCUGAGGGUAAUGACCCACAGAGGACCAGAGUUUGGAAACAGAAAGAGACUCUCUGGAGCCAGGGAUUCGUACUACUCAAAAUCACGAUGACCCUAGUACUGGUUUUCAUUGCUCAUGUGAGUCCUUUUGGAUUGCGCUCAUUCUGCAAGCUAGACCAGCAUCACAGUGACCCUCGAACGUGAGCUCCCUCAGGCAGAUGUGCUAGGCCAACGUGCGGGCUCCUAUGACUGCAAGUAAAUUGUAACCAGCAAUGAAUUAAGCUUAUUAAUAUGACAGUAUCUCCGUAAGCAAACAGCGGUUGCUUGUGCCCCGCUGUCUGCUUGUGGCUAGAAACAUGCAGCAAACAGAGCACUGAGGCAGGUUUUCAGUGGGCUGGGUUUAUUUUCCCCACUCAGGUCCCCUGCAUGGGCAUACUGUGUGCACAGCCUCUCCCUGAAGCGUACAUCUCUCUUUGAGAGCGGGACGGGGGGGAUUUUAAGCCUUCAAACAAGCUGAAUGUGGAAACGAUAUAGAUUGGAACCAGGCACUAUGUGUGAGUAAGAGCUUCCCACGCAUCCUUACAAAUACCCCUCAGCUCCAACACUGUCAGUCCCUCUGUUUCCACCAUGAGCAAUUUCCUAGCUCUGCUGAUACCCCACAGCUGGAGUGGAGGCACAGGCAGUGUGCUGUGGUGUGAUGCAAGUGGAAGUUGUCUUCAUUUUUAAGACACGGUGGUAAAUGUUUUCAUUUCUCACUUUGCUUAGGCAUAAGAUCCUGCAGUAGGAGCAAGUCAUGUAUUACAUUUCUGAAGUAAAUGGAAAGGGUUUUGAGAAUGUAUUGAAAGCAUUUUUCUAAUUGUUCUGCUGAGACACUGUUUGUCCUUUUUUUUUUUUUUUUUUUUUUUCAUUGCCCUCUCCAAGACUGAAAACAGAAAACAUAGUUAGUGUUGAAAGAAGUGUGAAGGAUAAAUGUGGAAGGGACAUUUCCCCAUAAGGAUUAAUCUGUCUGCAUGGUGUUUAUGAGCAUGACCUGUUAGUACACUUGGGCUGCAGCCAUAUCUCCAUACAUCUCCCUCAGUAAUGCAGCUGCUGACUGCCUCAAGCACUGACAUUUACAGAGCGUGUAUCAUCCAGUUAUUGCUUCACAUCCCUCCAGACAGUCUUGAUCAUCAGCUAAUUAAAGUCUUUUGCUGCUUCUGCACUCUUCCUUGGAGCUUCUGUUUUGCGAACACAGCUUCCCAUUGGUGAUGUGUUCAUUAUGUCUCCAAAUUUUACUUUGCAGCAUGACCAUGACUUAGUUUAUGAGUAAACUGAGUAUCAGAGGCGUGGAAAGCUGCUCAGUGGAAAGGGUGGCUCACCCCAUGGUGCUGUGCACCCUGACACUGUCUAGGGCCCACUUAAAGUGAGCUGCCCCAAGUUUUAGUGUUGGGCUGUUUUCAACCUGGCUCUGGAAGUAGGCAGCCUGUUGCUCUGCUUCCUUCAGCACAAGUAACCUCAGUGCAUCUUUGGAUUUGCUUGUCUGGGCACAUGCCCUACUAUCAAUUGUCGUGCAAGAUCUCAGAAAUGCUUCUGGAGCCUAGAAAAAUACAGAAAUAUGGAAAUAUAACUGUGUUGACAGAUCAGCCUCCCAAAGACAGUUUAGCAAAGCCCCAGCCAGACGAUUUCUUGUUAGCUAGCUGUUCUGCUAGCACAUUACCUCUGGCGUGGAAAAAUGUAAUCGGUUGUAAUCCAAGCUACAGCAGGCAUCAUGCUUAACACUUCUGAUGCUUAUUGCAUUCAAAAAAGUGUUCCCAGACCAUAAAUGUGGUGGUAUGAUAAUUUGCUGAUGAGUACUAGUAUAUUUAUGUGAAGGAAUAAACGUAUGGUUGUUGGAGUGAAUCUGUGAGAGAUGUCAGGAAAAAGAUGGAAAGGAAGGAAGAAAGGAGCAUCCUUUUUCAGUCAGAUUCACUGGGAAGCUUGGAGAAACAGAGCUGCACAAAAUUAAAUCUGACUCCCCCUUUGCAAAUGCCUGUCUUGAGCGUGAUGCCCAUGGCAGUGCCAUCUCUUGGUGUAGAUAGAGAUGAGGUGGGCACAGAACAGGUGAGGGAGAAGGAGGGCUCAGUAAUGAUCUAAGCGAAGGUGUGGGGAGGAAGAGAGCCAGUGCACGAGCACUGGGUGCAGCAGGCAGGGUUGUUCUGGUAGAUAAACAUUAGGAACUUGUAUUAUAACCCAAGAGCUCCUUGGUAUUUUCAAAGCAAUGGGGGUUACAAACCGUAACCUUGCUGUUACAGUUGUUUGAGCAUAUCGUAAGGCAAGUAUUACUUGUUAGCAUUGUAUGUUUUGAGCAAAAACAGUACAAGAAAUGAGUAUGAGCCUGAAUUUACUGCAAUGUACAUAGAGGAUUUUUUUAUUAUUAUUAUUUUUAGAAACAGCCAAUGCGUUACAUGUUAUUCAGCACAGGCAAAGACUCUGACACUGCUAGCCAAAAUGGUCAAUGGGAAGAUGAACUCAGAGGCUACAGGAGCAGCUACCUUUAGCAAAGGUCCUUUCCAUGAGACAGCUUCUUUUCCACAGAAGUUCUGACAUUAUUGAUGGUGGACAAUGCCGUUUUCUGGGUUCACAGAAGCAUUGCUGAAAUUACAGACUCACCGAUAAAGCAGGAGCUGCCAAGUGGUUCGUGACAGGUUUAUUUAGUCCAACAAGCAAAUAGCCAGAGGUGACACAGAACAUGGACAUUUCUUGUUUGGUAUUUCAUUCAAAUACGGUGUUUGGAAUUAGAGCCUUUUUUCCAAUCUGAACCGUUGACCAUUUUGGCUAGUGAGCUACUGAUCCCAUUGAUAGAGCCUUCUGAACAUUGCCUGUGAGUAAAAUGCAGCAUUGAGAAGUUAAUUUAAAAUUAAGAAGAGAGAUAUUAUUAAAGCACAUUAAAAUAUAGGAGAAAACAACACUUCAAGGACAACAGCGGAAACAAAGAACACCAUCACUAUAGCAUCCCCAUGCUGCUGGUUCCAUAUCACUCCAAGAAAUUUCACACCAACCUUUUGACGCCCUUUAAUGGGGACAAAGAAAUGCUUUUCUGGAAUUUCUUUAAGCAAUUUAAUACCCGAGGUGAAACCAAGACAACCUAUUCUGCAGUCUUUUAUACCAAAUCCAGAUAAAACCCCAAGCAAGCAGUUCCACAGAGCUGUAGAUCAUAGGACUGAAGCUGCCCUGGAUGGAUUUUUUCCAAACUUUCACCCAUUGCUCCGUUUUUGUGUCAACAAUAGAGUUGAACAGAUAAUGAGUUCUUUUGGAAACACUACCCUGUAAAAACAGGUCAUUGCUGAACUGUUGUUAAUGAUGAACCAGGAAUUGGUUCAAACUAUCUCACCCUCUCUUUUCAAACAGCUCUUGUUCUUCCUAUCAGCACCUAUCGCCACAAACAACCAUAGUUUGUCUCUUUCUAACUGCUAGCGGUUUUCUAUGUUGGUAAGUGUCUGGCAUCUUCUAAUUAGGGCUGUUUCUGCCCACUGUCCUUUUGAAUCCUAAAGGAAAAAGAUGUGAAGCUUUAUCAGUGACUUUUAUGUGGAAGAAGUAUUUAAAGAAGUCAGACACUAUGGCAAGGAAGCCAGUUGUUCUUAUCAUGCACAAUUUCUUUUCCCCAACCGAGCAACAUUUUUGUUUGUUCAAAGCAGGAUUUGUUUGUUUCAGUAAAUACCUGUCACAUAGCAACAGAAAUAUUACUAAAUAAUAAUACAUAUAAUGUUAAGCUCCUGGGUCUAGAAGCUUUUAAUGAAAAAAAAAACACGUUCCUGAUAAAAAAUAAUAAAUAAUGUCACCUUUUCUUUUUACAUUAAAAAUAUCUGUACAUGAUUACACAAUACAACUAAGUACAACUUUAUUUUCUAGGCUCGGGGUGGCAUCUCUGGGUUAGAUCUUCAUCUAAAAGAGUAGAGCCUCAUAGUCUUGAUCCUGCAUAUUUCCCACUUUAUGAAAAUCAUUUUCCCAAAGUUGCGAAGUCUGUAGCCUUGCUUAUCCUUUCCAUGCAAUGUGGAAGCAGCUCACAAGGAACACAGCAACAUCUACAUGCAGGAAGCAGCGAAGGACUGAGAUCUUUGCAAACAGAGAUGCGCAUAUGGUGAUAAUUGGAAGUCUCGGAACUUCUUGUCUCAACUGGAAGAGAACAGAAACAAAUAGAAAAAUAAAGAUGGAAAAUGUAAGUAGAAGUCUGUCUUCCUAAUGUAGCUAGAAAAGUUUUUUUAGAUGGUAUAUUUUUCAAGAUGGCACUUAGUGAUCUAUAACAGACUGACUCUGUCUUUUAGCCAACCUUUCUUCUUGGUAAGAAUGCCCGAAGUUUGCUCAGAUGACAACGGCACUGGCAGCUUGCCUGGAGUUUGAGAGCCACGUCCCAUCCGUUGGCCUCCGAAUGGCAGAGGAUGGCCACUGUCUUUUAGCAGUUGGCCUGGUUUGAAGUGGUGCUUGCAGGGCCUUCUGCUAGCAGUGAAACGUCUCUGUAGCUCCCACUCCAGCUUGUCAGGCACUGUGUGCACCCCAUGAGUCUUCUACCAGUGAACUUGGCCAGGAAACACAAUAAAAGCAUUCACAAAGCAAGCUCUGCAGGGCAGGGUGAACCAGCAGCUCGUGCUGACCUCUCACCAGUAACUAAUCAAAAAGCAAACAUUUCCUCUUACUUUGCUAAAGACGACAGUGCUGUUUGUCUCCUGACAGCAUCUGGUCACUACUGGGCAGCAUCUUGCGCAGGUGAAGCAGGCUUUUAGUCUCACAUCAUGCUAGGGCUGAAGCCAGAGCUUGUAAUGUUUAAGAUCAUGAUUAUCACAGAACAGAGAGGUGGCUUGUACACAGGUGGCAGCUGGAAAGGAAUAAUAGAACUCCUUGCACUGGGUGGUCUGUAUCCGUGUUGUUUCCUUACAUUGACGGAAAUCAGCUCGCUCCUGGAGUAAGGCUCUGAUGCAGUCAUACAGUCCAGCUGUCCUUGCAGAUACAGGAAAGUCCUCAGCUCUUCUGCUCAUGUACCUUCCCAUGCCCCCACCAAUCUACACAUGUGCAGCUGGACAUUCAUUUGAAGUCAGUGCAAAAAGCAUCAUGACAAUGCAGAUGAAUGAGUUUCCAUAAAGUUCUGCUGUCCAUGAAUCCUUUGGGUAUCCUGACAGGCAUCUGUUCCUUCAGCUGGGCCACUCCUCUUCUAGGACCAUGACUAGAAGCAGGACUCUUGGGAUUCAGGGUCAUUGUGGAUGGGAAGCUUCUCAUGUUCCUGAUGAUGCCCAUUACGUAGAACAGUGUACCUAGGAAUGGAAAAACAUAAAGGAAGAUCUGGUAGCACCAGUUAAAAGGACAAGCUUAUGUAAAAUGAGUUCUUGAAAACACUGAAGUAUAUCUUAAGACAAUACAUCUUCCAAAUAUCCAGAUCCCACAUGAAGCAAAUGUGAAUCCCUACUUUUCUUCAUGACAGGAAACCAAAUCUUCAGUAUGAUGCGGUCAAGGCAGUCCCUGAAAACCAAGAACCUGUUGGUUUUCAUGUAUCUAAGGUGCAGCUGGUAACGAGAGGAAACCAGACCAAAGAACUAAGAAACACCGAUCAUCUGUGGGUGGACUAGGCUGAAGGCGCUUCAGCUAAUGUCUUUGAUGUGAGUGUUUAAAGAAUCAUUUGAGACUACCUUGGGACGUGAAUGCUGUGUAAGAUGAAACCAAGACCAACAUUUCAGCUGUAAGGAAUCACACAUUAUCUCUUACAUGUUCCUCAUCUUGCUGCCCAUCUCAACGUGACUUUCUGAACAUAACUGUUGGUUUAGUUUGCUAAUGACGUGCAGCUCUUCUUCCUAAGUGGAGCGCAGUGCUUAGUAGGAACCAGCAGAUCUGAGGUGAUAGCAAAAAUGUUGGCUAACUGGAAUAAAACUGAUAUAGCACAUCUUUCUAGAAUGUCACAUCUAAUCAUUCUUGCUUGCAAACCCCCUGAAGGGUACAGAGCAAGCCAGGUAUCUUCCCUUGGCAGUCCCUUUCAUUUAAACUAAAGCUGAACCACACCAUCCCUCGAGUCAGCCCAAAAGUAGGAAGCUGCAAAAAUAACUGUAAAAGCAUAUUUUUCCCCUAGUCCAAAUGCAUAUCAGGGAAAUCAGGUAUCUGAUUUCUUCUGAAUACUUUCUUCUGCUGAGUCUUUAGAGAUUAUAGCUAUAUUAUUUCUCUUAGUAACAAAUAUACAAGACAUACCUGAAAUAUCCACAUCCCAAUAAAGAUUAAAAGAAGAAAAAAGCCUAAGAAAAGAUCAGUUCUCCUGCUGUUAGCAGAGGGAAAAGAAGCACUAUCAGCCUCCAGAUUUGUUUGAAUAACCAUUAGAAAAAGGGUCAGGAACUCCACAUCGUCUACAUAUUCAAAAACUGAUACUAUGACAUCAAUUUACUUGGCAUUAUUAAUCUGGAUGCAUCUCUUUCUCCACUGAGUAUACUUGGGACUUAGGCUCCUAAUUAAGGUGCUUAUAAUGCCACUGAGAUGUCUGAAGUAGAUGAUCUGAAUAUCCUACAAAUGACGUGUCCGUUAGUUCCAGUAAAACUCAAAAUGAAAGCCAGGGUAUAAACUGUACUGCCUGUCUGAAUUUGCCGUGGUGAGUAUUCCUGGAAGAAUUUACCCUCUAGUGUACUAGAUGCUUGUUGUCAACAUGGUCAGGCUUGGUUGCCUUAAUACAGGUCACUCUACGUGCAGAUACAUGUAUCCAUCAAACACACCUCCUUCGUACUCCAUCACUUUAAAUAAUUAUUGUAAAUUUCAAAAAAUGUGAUCAUUCUUCCAACAAGAUACAGACUUGAUGUAAGAAACAAGAAAAGACAUUUUGCAUCUAACACUGAACAGGCACUCCGAUUAGAUGAUCAUGAAGCAUACAAGUCGUAACAGAAUUUUAAUUUUUUUAUACCAAGUCAGACAUGGCACAUGAUGUGAGGCGACCCACCAGCGAGACCUCCAGCGCAGCAGAGGCUCUGCUACAAAUGGUGACACAGAGGAUGAGAGCCAGGAGAGCCCCUGCGCUGCGGACGUGGCUGACACAGCGCAGAGCAGCUCAGGACUGGCUCGGAAGCACAACAGACAGGCACCCAAAGCUGACUUGGUACAGGAUAUCCAAAGAGCCAAACCUUGCUGCUGCUUCUUCUGCGGUAGUCAGAAAACAGUAGUGCAAGAUCAGCAAUUUAGCAGGUGAUGCCGUUUGUUACAAAGAUGCAUUAAGCUUUAAAGAGAAGUCAUUAAGGUGUCCCAGGGUCUCUUGUGGCACAAAGUGGCUGUCUGAAGCCUCUGGCAGUUACCUCAACACUUCAGCUGUUUACCCUGUGGGGAAAGAGGACCGGUAGGAGAGGAGGAAAGAGCAUUCACAUGCAGGGUGCCAAAGCUGCACUGCAGGGGUGAUGGCUUGCUCUGCUAGCGGCACAUCAUUCCUAAAAGUCUUACCAGCAUCUCCAGGAAACUGUUAAAGAAGUCCUCUGCUGGCAGGAUUUUUGUUACCAGGAUUGUUUUCACAUUUUUUUUUCCCUUUACAUGAAAGUUCAGAGCUACCUGUAACUUACAGGGCACCAAUUUAAUGUCAGAUAAAAGACACAAUUACAACAUCCCUGCUUUUUUUUCACACCGCCAUGUCUUAACUGAUCUGCUCUUUGAGCAUACAAUGAAUUUUUCAGGUAUCAGCAUCUACGGGAAGCAAGAUUAAGAGAGAAAGCACAGCUGCACCUGAAACUCAUUUUUUGCCUCACCUACAGGAGCACACACCUACCGUGCCUCGGCUGUCACCCAGCUCGGGAGUCAAACACUGCAGCAUUUCCCUUCCCAACCACAAGAAGAAAACAAGACUCGGACCCUGCAUGUGUGGGCUGAAUGUUUCAAGAGAAAUUUAUCAAGUAGGUUUGAGUAAUGAACACAUCUGAGGAAGCCAUAAUAUGUGAACAGGAAAAAAAUUUAAAAUAAUUAAAUGCAUUAAAUAAAUUAUCUGCAGCAAAUUAGUUGCUUAGCUUUCCUGCCCGUAAUGAGUUCCUUCCAUGGGAUUUGGACACGCUGUCACGUUAAGCUACCAAGCUCAGUUACAAAUGGCAUCCCAGGCUGCUCCUGCAGCUGGCUCCUCCCCAGACUGGGGACCAGUGAUACUGUCAGCUCACCUGACAGCUUCACUCGGAUCACCACCACCGCCACCCAGCAAUGAAGCCCAGCGAUGGAAAGGAAUUACCUCCUAUAAAGGGACCCUGCUGCAGGCUACUCACGUACUUGCCAAAUGGAACUUUAAUUGUGAUGAUGACCAAUUUGGAGAUAAUUGCUUCUGCAUCUCCUGCUGUUUCUGACAGUCCAGUGGGCUCUCUAAUUAACUGCUUGGAUUAGCUCUCAGCACAGCAGAGGGGAGCUGUGUAGCUUUAACCUCUGUAGGCCCACAAGUACAACAGGGAGCCGCAACAUUAUUCUGGGAAAUCGGCAAGAGCUGGGGAGGAGACACCAAGGGGAUGCAGUGGCUGUUUGUGAUCUUUCCGCUUUCGUUCUCCCACGCCAGAUUGUACAAUUUAUUAAGGAAGCAAAGCCAACAAAUUGUUGGGCUCUGGCCUCUGCAACCAUGAUGAAAAACAGUCACUAUUUGCAUGGAGCCUGAGGUCCCUGCUUACUUCUCUCCUGAUGAGCAAACCCCUAGCAUCCAGUUCUGUCCCCCAGGUUCGUACCUGUCUUGCUGAAAAGCAGAAAGCAAUGUAAUUUUGGGGCAGGGCUGCUGGGUCUGAACACAAAAGCUAACUGCAUCCAUUUCUGCGGCAGAACAUGACCCAGCAGGAGGGGAGGCAACAUCCUGAUGGUGUGUGUGCCACUCCUCUGUUGGAGCUCGCAGCCACCGAUCCAGUUUCCAGAAGGGAGCCUUUUCCUGGAGUUGAUGCCUGGGCUCCUUUGGACAGGGGGAACAGACGAGAAUUGGAAAGUAUCUUCCCAAAAAUGCCUUCUACCCAACGCUUCACGCUUGCAGUAUCUGUGUAACGCUGCCUAUACUGCUUACACAUACCUAUGGCUCCUCUGUACCAGCAGAAGCGCCUGGGCAGCUCAGCAGUUCUGCAGCUGUUUUACCUGUGAAUUACUCCCCUGGUUUUUAACCGCAGUCCUUGCUCAGAUCGCUCGUAUCCAUCCUUCUUCCCUAAGCUCCCUGCAAACUCCAGUUCAUCAGCCCACAGGCAGUUAAUCCUGGUGGCUGCUGCAAAGGGCAAGGGGCCCCUUACAGGUACAGAAGCUGCAAGGGCUUGGAUGACGGUGGUAGAGACUGCUCAUUAACAACAGACUGACAAAAUGAGAGCAAAGGCAGCCUUUCCCAGCUACAGCUGCAUCACUAAUGGGCUAAAGGACUUGUGGGGCAGCAUCUCCUGUGCUUCCCAGAGCCUCUGAACAAACAUGGGCCUUAGUGUUCCCUCAGCAGCUUCUGUCCCUUUAACCCUGGCAGGAGAAAUAAUGUUACCUAAAGGGUCACAAUCAUAGCAAAGAAAAAAUAAAAGAAAAUAAAUGCCCACGACUGCCCAAGCACGGGAAAGCUUUCAGCUGGGCUGGCACGGGGGAAGCCACAGCCAUCCCAAACCCGCCUCAGGUGCGCAGCUGUCUCUGCUCUCUGUUCAGCAAUCCCUUCCUCACACACCUGAUCACGUUAUUAAUUGCUUCCGUUUUUGAACUGACGGAAGGUGGUUCCUGUCACCCUGACAUUCUCUGGGACCAAGGUGAGGCUUUGCAGCUCUCGCUGGGAAGGGUUUGCUUUUGGGGGGGCUGGUACUGGAGCUGCUAACUCUGCUCCCCAGGACUUUUGCCACCUAAAUCCACUCCCCCUCUGCCUGGAAAAAGAAGGACACAUUGUCACUGGGUAGCGAAGAACUUUGCACACGCAUUCAGAUGCCAAGAGGUCAAUGUUGCUGCAGAAGCAGUUGUUGAUGGCCGGCAUGCCAAAUGAAACAUGUAGAAUAUAUUUCUUCCUUCACACACAACUAGAAACAUCCUCCAGGAUCCUGGAAAAUGUCUCAGUAAUAAGCUUUUGCACAGCCAAUUCGCAUCUUUGAA